rnacentral:rRNA from 1 species
AUUGAACGCUGGCGGCAUGCUUUACACAUGCAAGUCGAACGGUAACGCGGGGGCAACCCUGGCGACGAGUGGCGAACGGGUGAGUAAUACAUCGGAACGUGCCCAGUAGUGGGGGAUAGCUCGGCGAAAGCCGGAUUAAUACCGCAUACGACCUAAGGGUGAAAGCGGGGGACCGUAAGGCCUCGCGCUAUUGGAGCGGCCGAUGGCAGAUUAGCUUGUUGGUGAGGUGAAGGCUUACCAAGGCGACGAUCUGUAGCUGGUCUGAGAGGACGACCAGCCACACUGGGACUGAGACACGGCCCAGACUCCUACGGGAGGCAGCAGUGGGGAAUUUUGGACAAUGGGCGCAAGCCUGAUCCAGCAAUGCCGCGUGUGUGAUGAAGGCCUUCGGGUUGUAAAGCACUUUUGGUAGGAACGAAACGGUCUGGGCUAAUACCCCGGACUAAUGACGGUACCUGCAGAAUAAGCACCGGCUAACUACGUGCCAGCAGCCGCGGUAA